rnacentral:lncRNA from 1 species
AUGACUUUUUUCAACCAUUUAAAAAUAAACUUUUGUAGACUUGAACUGGAAACACGUCUCUGCUCUGCUGCUCUUUCAAGCCUUUUUGAAGGGGAAAAAGAGCAUCGGGUUCCCUCUGCAGCUGUUGUGCUUCGGAAAAGCAACCUGUUUGAGAUGGCAAGUCGAAUGAUAGGCCAUUCCUUCCUGCAUGGUGGUUUUGGUGUGUCAGGAAUCAGUUUGCCUGUGGGGACCCUGUUGACUGGUGGGAGCACAAACACAGCAGUGUCAGCUCUGAGCCUGCUGGACUGUCCUGAUCUUGACCAUCGGGAAACAAUAGGUUUUGUAAGUAAUGUUAUUGAAAGUGGACAUACAGUACACCAAUGCACCACAAUGAUGCAUUGUUUUGUCAUCUAAAGCAUCGACAAAUAGAUUCAGAACUAGAUAUUAAGCAAAAGGUGAUUUCUAUCCACCCUUUUUUGUGGAUUGCCCAGAAAAGAACUUGGCAUGUUAUUCUGAAAUUCUGUUCUGCUUUCGUUGGUUUCUGGAUUUUCUUAGCUGAAGAAUACAGAACUUACUGCAGCAGAAACCUACCGUGUGACUGAUCUUUGCCUCUCCUGGGAUCUCCCUGUUCCAACCUCAACCAAUCACGACUGGCUUCCAGUCGUGGUUCCUGGUUCCAGGAACUGCUUUCACAUGCGGUAAUCAUUUUAUAAAUUACCUUAUUGUAAACUAUAAUGGUAACAUUAGUCUAACCAAUUAGGAGGUCAUCGGUUUGCCAUGCCGCAUCUUUAAAUGUUGCCGUCUGUCCUAUCAAUUCUGUUUGCAGGUAAUUAACCGUGUUAGGCUGCCUAUCAAGCAGAUCCGCAAAGGCCUUAAAGAGACAGGAAUCUGGCCGCUUCUUUCAAGUAGACUAGAUGUCGGACCAAUAAUCUUUCCAAGGGAGUCGAAUGAGGAGCUUAACCCACAGGUUUGCUGCCUUCGUGUCUUAAUUUGAUUUAUAUGAAGCUAUAAGUAUUCCUGUAAUGGAAAUUGUUAGUCAGUGUAAAAACAAUGCUUUACUAUUAAGAUUGUUCUGCAGCAUUUAACAAGAGUUUUAGUCAUGAUGAAACACGCUAGGAUUUGAUCCACUGUAGGCUGUCAUCCAAAACAUCCACUGGCCACAACCCAAAUGUGACAGUGACGAGGACGAGGAUGACCCUGUUCCAUUGGAGAAAGUCAGUCUCCGCAAGUUGCAUAGGCUCAAAAUUCAUCUUGGCACAUUGAAAGGUGUUUAACUAAACUAUAAAUGUACACAGCAUACACUGAGUAGGGCUGGCGUGACCUCAGCCCGUACAGCAUGCCGAAGCACAGGUCCCGGUAGGAGAAAGGAUCCAAAGCAAGCACGUUUUCUAAAGUAAAUAAUAAUAUUUAUUGACUAGAAAGGGAUAAGGGAAGGGGAGGACAAAACAGGAACAACAGUACGACAAACAAACACUAAGCAAUAAACCACUCAGCUGGGUAAGACAAACUUAUACAACACAAGCAAACGACAACUAUCGCCAGGGAAAUGUAACUUGCCUGGUGAGACCAGCAAGACAACAAAAUGAUGGCUAAAGAGCCUACAAACAAUGGCAUGAAAGCCUACAAAUGAGACGGGUAGUGUCCACAUCAAUGGCAUAGCACCCAAACACGAUACAACCAGUAUCAACCGUGGCAUAGAGCCAAGUGGUGUGGGAGAGCACAGGCUUUAUCCACCCGCCCCUUUUGAGUGUAAUUGCCCUCAGCUGUUGUCAUCACUGGGCCUGGAGGAUAUUCUACAGGGAGGGGCGGGGGUACC